CGACGGACAACAUACAAAACGAUUAUAAUGCUAUGAUCAAAGUAUAUUUAAGCCAUUUUCGCAUGGCUAUCCAAAUUUACACAAAACCGAAGGGUACAUGACCAACAACAAAAGGGUAGUCCUAUACAUGCCAUUUCAAAGUUCAACCAAAAUUGUACCAAAAGGGGGCUUUGAUAGUGUGGGAGACUUCGACUUCCAAAAAUCCCGAGUCCGAUAGCUGAAGAACCAAAAUCUAUAAACAUAGAAUCAAAGAAACGGAGUAAGCAUUAAUUGCUUAGUAAGUUUUGAGCAAAGAAUUUAGACACAACCAAAGUAUAGCAUUCAUGUAGCUAAACAGAUAAUUUCAUAUGCACAAAUUUUCAAUAUCAUACUUACUUCACAUUACCAACCCUUAUAUUCAUACACAAAGAUUAACUUAGCCAAAGGCCGGUAGCUCAUUUAUCAACUGAGCGAAUACUUAUUUGUAAGGGCUCAACUAAUUCAAAGCACAUACGAAACAUACCUCAAUGUUGGGAUGUUACAAGCGUAUUAACUGAAAUUUUUACAGCAAGAUCGUUUAUUCCCGAAUCACGUACCUUCGGAAUUUAACCGGAUAUAGCUACUCGUUCAAAUGCCUUUGGGACAUAGCCCGGUUAUAGUAACUCGCACAAAUGCCUUCGGGACUUAACCCGGAUUUAGUAACUCGCACCAAUGCCUUCGGGCUUAGCCCGGAAUUAGUAACUCGCACAAAUGCCUUCGGAUCUUAGUCCGGAUAUGGUCACUUAGCACAAAGCCUUCGGGACUUAGCCCGGACAUCAUUCAAAUAACCAUGCACAUUUAACAAUAAAUCAUGACACAUUCGUAUUUCAUUUUCAUUAGCAAAACUCAAACACAAGACACUUAUCACUCUUGCAAUUUCGGCUCAAUAGCCACACACAAAGAGCAUGAUUUUGAUUUGCUUAAAACAUAGUCUAAUCGAAUCAUAAUUUAAGUCCCAUUACUCGAAAACUUACCUCGGAUGUUGUCGAACGGUUUCGACGGCUAUUCGACCACUUUUUCCUUCCCUUUAUCGGAUUUAGUUCCCCUUUGCUCUUGAGCUUAAUUCAAACAAAUUUAACUCAUUAAAGUCUCAUUUUGCUAGCUUAUGGCCGAAUAUGACAAGGAGUUUGAUAGGUCAUAUGGCCACCUUUUAGCUCAAAUACACAAUGGUCAUACGCAUUUUUAAUCACAUCAAGCAAUUUAAUACAAUUCAUUCGAACAUCAAAAGAGAAGCUCAAGGUACUUAGCCCAUAUAUACAUUAGACAUUAGAGUCACAUAUGUACGAAAUUACGAAUCGAAUUCAACAUACUAGCUAAUAUUUCCCUUAGCCGAAUUUUCUAAGUCAAGAUAAAGCCAUCAAUAUGCUUACCUAUGGCCGAACAUACACAUCAACUUAUGUACUCAUUCAUGUGGCCGAACAUACAUGUCUAUGUUGAGGCCGAUUGCAACACUCAAUACAUUCUACAAGUAUGGUCACUUGUAUUGACUAAACACCAUUUUGUUUCAAGUUCAAAACUUGACCCAUACACAUAUAUACACUAGUAAAGCAUCCUUUCCCUUUCCAUCAAUUCAACACAUGCAUUACUCAUUAAUAUACAAAAAUUAUAUUCGGCCUUAGCACACAACUUGCUAGCCGAUUCUUCUCCAUCUAGCAACUAAUGUACAUAUGUGCUCAUUUGUUAGACUCUACUUCAUCUAACAACAACAAUAUUUUCCCUUCUACUUCCUACCAUGGCCAAAUGCAUCACAACACCAUACCAUUUCAAUUUUUGGUCAUGGUUAAACAAAGAACUUAAUGUCUCACUCAAAAAUGCUAAAAAGAAGAUUCAAGAAUCAUCAAUCCACCAUCACAUGCACCAUUACAAAGCUUCACUUUUAGCAUGCAAAUGAUAUCAACACCAAUCCACCUUGGCCGAAUAUCAUCUCCAUGACAUAGUAAAGAUUUGAACCAUGGGCUAUUUAGAACUCAAGCUAACUACUAAAACAUGCAUGCAUCUCAUGGAACAUCAUCAAACAUACCUUAGUCUAUCAAACCACCAUAGCCGAUUUCCUCAAAGCUCUUUUUCCUUCUUUUUCUUUCUCCUAUUCGGCCAAGAACAACAUGAGAGCUUUUCUCUUCUUUUUUUUUUUGGUCAUGCAUGAGAAUGAUGAACAUAUUUUUUUUCCCUUUGUUUUCUUCCUUCAAUUUCUUAUUAGUUUAUUGCCCAUGCUUCUUAUUUUAUUCUUCCAUUAACACAACAUGUUUCAUGACAUGUUUUGCCCAUCAUCCCUUGUCAUGGCCGGCCACUAGUACUUAAAUGAGGGGGGAAAUUGACAUGCAAGUCCACCCCUUUGAUUACAUGCACUAUUAGGCCACUUGCAUUUGCCUAGCACAUUUCUAAAUUUUCUCACAUAAGUCCUAUCAACUAAAUUCACAUGCAAUUAACUAAAUCGAAGCUUAAAACUUUCACACAUUUAUAUUCACACAUUUAUAUUCAUAUAUUUUAGGCAAUAAUUAUCACAUUCAAAUAAUUUGGUGACUUGGUCUAGCGGUCCCGAGACCGCUUUCCGACUAGGGUCACUUUUGGGCUGUCACAAUCUUGUUUCAACAUCUUCUAAAUAUCUAGAAUAGAAGGUCAUACACUCAUCUGCCAAGUAGCCUUCAACAAUUGAUCCUUCUAGAUAACGCUUAUUUUGAUAAUAAGACUUUAAUUUGCUUAGGAACAUAAACACGAUAUACAACAUUAUCAAAAGUUGUAACUAAAUGUAUAGAGGUGAAUGAAUGAAUACUUUAUAAAUAAAUUAGCACAUUUCUAAAGGAUACAUCCAUCGAUAGAAAACCGUUCCUCCAUUGCUUCACGAGGGAGAUGGAUUACCAAGUGCACCAUAAUAGUGAAGAAGAAAGGUGGAAAGAUCUUCUCCAAAUUGCAUAAAGUCAAAGCGGCUCGAUCCUGUACUUUCUCAAGUUCUUCAACAUCCAAAACUUUGCCACAAAUAGCUUUUAUUAUAUUGGAAAGUUCAAUUAUACAGGACGUAACCUUUUUUGACAUGUAACACCGUAAAGCAAGUGGCAGUAAAUCUUGCAUUAAGAUGUGAUAAUCAUGUGAUUUUAAAGAAUAUAGUCUUCGAUCUUUAAGACUCACAUAUCGAGAUAUAUUUGAUACAUACGCAUCUGGGACCUUUAUAUCCUUCAACACUGUGCAGAACACUUCUUUCUCUUCCUUCGACAUUGCAAAAAUUGGAGGCGGCAACUGAUAUUUUCCAUUCGAAAGUACUUGGGGAUGAAGAUCACGUUGAAUUCCCAUGUCAACUAAAUCAAGUCGACUCUAAAGAUUGUCUUUUGAUUUUCCAUCCAUAUUCAAAAUUAUCCCGAUGAUGUUCUCGCAAACAUUCUUCUCAAUAUGCAUGGCAUCAAGAUUGUGUCGUAAAAUGUGAUGCUCCCAAUAAGGAAACUCAAAACAAUACUUCUUUUUUUCCACAAGUCUGCCUCAUUAGGCUCAUCCUCUUCAUCAGAUUCAGCAUCAGAUUUAUCCCUCAAUCUUCUCAUUGUUUGUAUGUUGGAUGGUUGAUUCAUCUUCCCAUAACUAAAAUCCAUAUCUUUUAACAUGAACAAUAUUUCAAAUCCAAUGGUCUGCUUAGGAGCUUCUCUAAACUCUUCAGUGCCGUUAAAUAAAAAUCUAAAUCUAUGAUUUUCAUCCAACCACCGACGAUGCCCCAUAUAACAGAACUUCUUCCCAUUAUAUAACCAUUUCGAACAUGUUUGCGCAGCACAACAAGGACAAGCAUAACGUCCUUUGGUACUCCAACCAGAUAAAUUGGCAUAAGUCGGGAAAUCAUUAAUUGUCCACAACAAAGCUGCAAGUAAGUUGAAGUUCUCAUUUCUCAAAACAUCAUAUGUCUCAACCCCGAUCAUAAUUGUUUUAACUCUUCAAUAAGUGGCUGCAAAUAAAUGUCGAUAUCAUUUCCAAGACCUCUCUCUCCAGGGAUAAUCAUAGAUAAUAUAAAAGAAGAUUGCUUCAUGCAAAUCCAUAGAGGCAAAUUGUAAGAAACAAGCACUACAGGCCAAGUACUGUAGGAAGUACUCAUAAUUUUAAAAGGAUUAAAGCUGUCAGCUGCUAGCCCAAGCCUCACAUUCCGACAUUCCGAGGAUCGCUUGCAAAGCUUGGAAAUUUUGCGUCAAACAAUUUUCAAGCUAAAGAAUCAGCAGAAUGCCUUAAUAAUCCAUCAUCGGCCCGUUCAUCAUUAUGCCACCUCAUAGAAUCGGCUGUCUUUGACGACAUGAAAAGCUUUUGAAGUAUUGGUAUUAGGGGAAAAUAUCGCAAAACCUUGAUUGACUUCUUUCUUAACUGUGCCCCACCUUUAUCCGCAUUCACAUCUUCUGUAUUCCUAUUCAUCCAACGAGACUUACCGCAAACAUGACAAGACUGUUGGUUUUUCUGAUCAUCCCAGUACAACAUGCAGUCAUUUGGGCAACUAUAAACUUUAUCGUACCUAAGGCCCAAAUCUUCUAUUAGUCUCUUCAUAUCUUGACAAGACUAGGAGAUUUUUGCAAACGGAAACAUCUCUCUCAGAAACUCUAACAGCAUUGUAAAAGAGUUUCCGGUCCUCCAUCCCAAACAUUUUAAGUGGAAUAGACGAAUGCAGAAGGACAAUUUCGAAUAUUUUGAUCCAUCGUAAAGUUCUUCGUUCAUUUCAUUAAGUAAAUUGUAGAACUUCGCCGCUUCUUCAUUUGGCUCCUCAUAUGGUGCACUUGUUCCCGUUUCGCAAAAAAUAAUUCCACCAAUAUUUCAAUCAUCGGAUGCAAUAAAGUUAGGUGGAAACGAUUGCUCACUAUGACUGUGCAUAUUAAAUGCAUCCCGCAACAUACCUUCCAUGUUAUCUUGUCUAACACAAUGAUGGUAAGCAGUAUCAGGAUAAGUCAGAUUAAUCGUUGAAGAAGUUCCACUAGAUGUACACUCUCCAUGAAAAAUCUUUUUUUUAUACCCUCGAAUAAAACCAUCAACAAUUAGAUGUUCGUAGACAACUUCACGAACAUGCCAAUUGAUGUUGCCACACUUCUUACAUGGGCAAAGAAUCAUAUUCUCUUGGCUUGCAUUUUGAAAUGCAAAAUUUAGAAAAGUUUGUACUCCAUUUCGAUAGGCGUUGCUUACCCUUGACAAAUUCAUCCAACUCCUAUCCAUUUCGCAGUUCUUGAAAUCUAAAGUUGACAAUAAAUUAUACAGGUAAGUUAUUUAUUUAUAAGUAUGAUUAAGUUAUGUAAGUUAUGAUAUGAUAUAUAUUUAUGUAUUAUGUAAGUUAUGCAAAUUAUGUAAGAUAUGAUAUAUAUUUAUGUAUUAUGUAAGUUUUGUAAAUUAUGUAAAUUAUGUAAGAUAUAAUAUAUAUUUAUGUUGAUGGGAUUGUGAUUGUGUUGAUGGAAAAAUACAAGGGAAGUGAAGAAUUGGUUAUUAGAUUAAAUUUACAAGUUUAGGGUUAAUUAUUUAUUUUGAAUUAAGUCCAUCAUGUGUGCUGAAUUAUGGUUAUUUUUAUUGAGUCAUAUGAAUGCUAAAUCAACUCAGGAAUGAAUGGGCUAAUUCGUUAAAAUAAAUUAAAAAAAAUAUUUUCCAAGUAAGUUAAGUCUAAUUUUUUGAACAAUAUUUAAAAAUACAAUUUAAUUUAAUUAGGUAAUUUAAAAAUAAAAUAAAAGUAGAUAAAAUAUUUUUCGUGAUUAAAUUAAAAUAAAAUAAAAUAUUUAAAAUAAAACUUUAAAUACAAUUUAAUUUAAUUAGGUAAUUUAAAAAUAAAAUAAAAGUAGACAAAAUAUUUUUCGUGAUUAAAUUAAAAUAAAUAAAAUAAAAUAUUUAAAAUAAAUCUUUAAAUACAAUUUAAUUUAAUUAGGUAAUUUAAAAAUAAAAUAAAAGUAGAUAAAAUAUUUUUCGUGAUUAAAUUAAAUUAAAAUAAAAUAUUUAAAAUAAAACUUUAAAUGCAAUUUACUUUAAUUAGCUAAUUUAAAAAUAAAAUAAAAGUACACAAAAUAUUUUCGUGAUUAAAUUAAAAUAAAAUAAAAUAUUUAAAAUAAAACUUUAAUUACAAUUUAAUUUAAUUAGGUAAUUAAAAUAAAAUAAAACUUUAGCGGCGUUUAUAUUUUUGUCUUUUAUAAUGCAAUUCCAUUCCUCCUAAAAAAUUCUCGAUUAAAUUAUAUGUUUGACAGUGGAAUAUUACACUACAAAGUCAAGGAAAUGCAAGUCAGAUUAGUCCAACCCCUAAAGUUGGUAUAUGAAAAUUGUCAUUUGAUAAAAAAUAUAGAACAUAAACUUAUACCUAAUAGAAAUUCUCAACAAAAUUUAAAAGUUAAAAACAUAUGGCACUACAUAAACCAAGGACAAACAAGCGAUAGAAUAAUCAUGACAUUACAUCCAUAACAGCCACUCAGCCAAAUUAAGUAUAUAAAAACUACAACUGCUAACAUACACCAAAAAAAAGGAUAUCAAUUGAAAUGAAAAAAAUUAGCAAAUAAUCAGCCUACACUGCCAUAGCUAAUUGAUGGGAGCAUAUUGUUUUACAAUGCAUGAGUACAAGAUCAUUCAUUUUUCAAGUUCCAGAAAAAACUGUUAAAAUUCAACAAUACUACAGCAAUAAAAAAGAGCAGGAAAAAAACUACAGCAAGAGUUGUCCACCUAUGUUUCAGCAAUUAGCUUCCUUGCAACUUUUGUCAAUAGAUAGUGCACCUAAAGAUCAAAGCACAUGGCAUUCAACAGUCAAAAUUCAGCUAUAAAACAAAGCAAAUGACUGAUAUUAACACGACAUGUAUUACUAGCUACCUAAGCUAUAAAAUAUGGAGUAUUAUAAUAUAAACUACAAAUAUAUGAAACAAGUGCAUUCUUCUACGUUUUAGAUUCACAUAUUUUAACGUAACAACAACUGUAUCAUGAUAACAAAACCAAUUAACUGCAUAUUCAGUCGCUCUCAUUAAUAAUAUCAACACUUGCAGCCAAUUUCUAAGUUUGAUUUUUUUUUUAAAUUAUAUGAACCAUAUGAUAACUUUCUUUUAAUAAUGUGUUACCUAUUUCUUGUGCAUAUGGACUCAUAUUUCUUAGUAUAAAACUUGUAAUAUUCUGUUUAACUAUUUUUUAUAUUUAAAAGUAAAAUAUAAUAAUUUAAUUAAAUUAUUCGAACCAAAAUUAUUAAUACUCGAACAUUCUACCAAAUAUAAAUUCAUUAUGAAUUUGCUUAUACAUUAUUAUUAUUACUAUUAUUUGGUAGACUUUACCAAGUAGUUUAAUAUUGAAUUAAAUAUGUAAACCUGGAUUCAAAAGAGUUAAUACAAAAUAAAAUUAUCAAAAUAAAUAAAUUUUUAUUUUUCUAAAAAUUAAUAAAAUAAUAAAAAUAUAUUUUAAAUAUAUAGUAUAAUCUCACUGGAGAAAAUUUCCAACAUAACUUCAUUGCUCCAAACUUUGUAUGAAGACGAGAAUAACUUUGAGUGUGACGAGCUUUAGACAAAAAUCAUAUCUUUCCACAGCGAUUAACACAAUGCAGAAUAGAAUCCAAAUUUUAUUAUUGGGGCAUUUAAUCUUUAGCACCUUUAAGAAUAAUCCAAUGAAAAAGAAAAAACCAUCAAAAUCAAAUAACACAGAAAGAAAAAAACUGUUUUAGAAAGUUGAAAUCUUCACGAGAAAAGCUCUUUUUUUCCAGUUCAAAAGGUUCCCACUCUUGACUUUUAUCGUCUUUAGAAUAAAUUUGAAAAUUAAUAUCAAACACAACCAAUGCAACAAGGAAACAAACUUUCAAGCUAAAACCCACAUCUGCUAAACAAACUUUUCAACACCUAAUUUUUAGAAAUUUGAAACAAAUCUAAAGUCAAAUCAAAGUUUACCGAUUGCUUGCGGUAGAAGAGGGCGACAACGACGCAACAGAGAGGACAGAACACAGUGAUGAGUAGGUGGUCUGGUCGGCGUCUUCAGCAGCAGAUGGCGGGGAUUUUAGGGCAAAAUAAGGGAUUUGAGAAAUUUGUUGAAUUGGGGAAAAUCUGUUUAGGGGGGGAAUGUGUAAGUAUCGGGUAAGGCAAGAGGAUAAAGUUAAGAAAGGAAAACGACGCCGUUUUUUAAAGUAUAUAG
rnacentral:lncRNA from 1 species